rnacentral:rRNA from 1 species
UACGUAGGGGGCAAGCGUUGUCCGGAAUCAUUGGGCGUAAAGAGCGUGUAGGCGGCCUGGUAAGUCCGCUGUGAAAGUCCAGGGCUCAACCCUGGAAUGCCGGUGGAAACUGUCAGGCUCGAGUCCGGAAGAGGCGAGUGGAAUUCCUGGUGUAGCGGUGAAAUGCGCAGAUAUCAGGAGGAACACCAAUGGCGAAGGCGGCUCUCUGGGACGGUACUGACGCUGAGACGCGAAAGCGUGGGGAGCGAACAGG